AUAGUACUUCCUCCGUCCAAAAAUACUUGUCGGAAAAUUGAAGAGAAAUGGAUGUAACUAGACGUAUUUUAGUUCUAGAUAUAUUCAUUUUCAUCCAUUUCUGCGACAAAUAUUUCCGAACCGAGGAAGUAUAUA
rfam:Triticum aestivum genome assembly, contig: Triticum_aestivum_CS42_TGACv1_scaffold_577756_7BL